AUUGAACGCUGGCGGCAUGCUUUACACAUGCAAGUCGAACGGUAACAGGCCUUCGGGUGCUGACGAGUGGCGAACGGGUGAGUAAUGCAUCGGAACGUACCCAGAGGUGGGGGAUAACGCAGCGAAAGCUGUGCUAAUACCGCAUGUGAUCUGAGGAUGAAAGCUGGGGACCGAGCAGCAAUGUUUGGCCUCGCGCCUUUGGAGCGGCCUAUGUCGGAUUAGCUAGUUGGUGGGGUAAAGGCCUACCAAGGCGACGAUCCGUAGCUGGUCUGAGAGGACGAACAGCCACACUGGGACUGAGACACGGCACAGACUCCUACGGGAGGCAGCAGUGGGGAAUUUUGGACAAUGGGCGCAAGCCUGAUCCAGCAAUGCCGCGUGCGGGAAGAAGGCCUUCGGGUUGUAAACCGCUUUUGGCAGGAACGAAACGGUGUCCGCUAAUACCGGGCGCUAAUGACGGUACCUGCAGAAUAAGCACCGGCUAACUACGUG
rnacentral:rRNA from 1 species